GCACCUCUAGCUCAACUGGCAGAGCAACGGACUCUUAAUCCGCAGGUUCUGGGUUCGAAUCCCAGGGGGUGUACCA
rnacentral:tRNA from 1 species